AUGGGUGACUAUCUAGCACGGUUCAGAGAGCACGUGUAUGUAGUCUACGCUGGUGAAUGGAAUCCCCCGCCGGAAAAAAGAAGUGGCUCUUCCCACAGCUCUGUCACCAUUGACUCUAUUAAUUAUUAUGGUAAAUCAUUGUAUCAAGAUGUCAAUCUUAGAUCUUAUUAUAUUUCGAUAUGUCCACCUACGAAACUCGCCCUUGGCUUUCGUCUCGGUAGGUGUACUAUUCUACAUUUUCCCAAAAGGACAUUCAUUCAUUUCUUUCUUCCCGGGCGAUCACCACGACUAAAACGAAAACAAGACAAGAAAUCAAGACCCGUACUACAAGAGAAGGGCUGGUGGCCGACAUUUGGGAAAGUCGAGCCGAUCGGGUGUCUUCAUUCAAGCGAGGGUACAGAGGAAGAACGAAACGAAGUGAGAGGCCGGGGGGCAGGGAAAAGAUUCGAGUCGAUCGACCGGGAGAAGCAAAAUGAAAUCUGGAUUUGGCCGAAAAAGAUGCAACGUUAUGGAUACCAUGACCGAUCACCAUCGAGAAAGAAGAAUUUUGAUAAAUCACUUCGGGUGAGCGGGACCUUCAAGAGGCCUCAAUACGCCGGGGUUGUAAAUGACAUACCUUUCCUUUCCCGCUCUGACGGCCCGACGAGUCAUCUACUAAAAAGGACCCUCCCCGCUAUGCGCCCCUCCUUGAAUUAUUCGGUCAUGCAAUACUUUUUUAAUACUAAGAAUAAAAUGCAUUUCGACCCCGUCCUAGUUCUCAAUCAUUUCGUGGCACCGGGUGUGGCUGAACCAUCUAUGAUGGGGGGAGCGAAGGGAGGAAGCUUAGAUAAGAGAAUACGCUCUCGCAUCGCUUUUUUUAGAAAGCUCUACCAGCGAGAAAAAGUGUUUGGCCCGAGCCAAAAAGAGGUUGAUCCACUUCAUUCGCCAAGCGAAUGA
rnacentral:rRNA from 1 species